UCAGGAGCUUGUAGAAGUCGGUGUCGAGCAGGCUGCGCACGAUCGGGUCUAGCCGCCAGCCGUGAUUGUAGGUUCGUGAAGCGAUAUCUGUAAUAGCCAUGCCGGGAUCAUAUCCGGCUCCCUCGCGGGCAGCCAGCCACCGGCCGCUAUUUUAUGGCCUGCUUCCAUGGCGAGCUCGGCCUAUCGCCGNNNNNNNNNNNNNAGCCUUGUCCGGGGCGAACUGCUGCCUCAGGUAUGAGACCAACUCCAUGAUCUGUUGGUCAUUCAGGCU
rnacentral:misc_RNA from 1 species